UGGGGAAUAUUGGGCAAUGGGCGCAAGCCUGACCCAGCAACGCCGCGUGAAGGAAGAAGGCUUUCGGGUUGUAAACUUCUUUUAAGAGGGACGAAAGAAAUGACGGUACCUCUUGAAUAAGCUCCGGCUAACUACGUGCCAGCAGCCGCGGUAAUACGUAGGGAGCGAGCGUUAUCCGGAUUUACUGGGUGUAAAGGGCGUGUAGGCGGGAUGGCAAGUCAGGCGUGAAAACUAUGGGCUCAACCCAUAGCCUGCGUUUGAAACUGUCGUUCUUGAGUGAUGGAGAGGCAAGCGGAAUUCCGUGUGUAGCGGUGAAAUGCGUAGAUAUACGGAGGAACACCAGUGGCGAAGGCGGCUUGCUGGACAUUAACUGACGCUGAGGCGCGAAAGCGUGGGGAGCAAACAGGAUUAGAUACC
rnacentral:rRNA from 1 species